GGCGACGAUGGCGGCAAAAAGAAAAUGAUGAUGAUGGCGAUGAUGUGCAUGAAGAUGAAGUUUAUGAUGAUGGUGCCAGCUAUGAUGGGCAUGAUGGGAAUGAUGUCAUUCAAGGGGAUGAUGUUCAGCAUGAUGUCCUUCAUGGUUUCCAAGAUGAUGCUAUUAAUGAAAAUUUUGGAAAAGAAAGG